rnacentral:lncRNA from 1 species
AGGAGUCAUUUGGUGGGUUUUGGGUGAAAUGCAAUCACUAGAACUAUACAAUCCACCAACCACCCCGUUUAUGAACGAACUUCGUACGAAUCUGAAUUGUCCGAUUUCAAGGACCAAUCGACAUUGGAUUGAGUUCGAAACUUUUGGAACAUCAUAAUAUUGUUGGAGUCGUUUGGUGGGUUUUGAGUGAAAUCCAAUCUCUAGAACUAUACAAUACACCAAUUACCCC